CUGCAUGGUCACACCACCCUGAACGCACCCGAUCUUGUCUGGUCUUGGAAGCUAAGCAGUGUCAGGUCUGGUUAGUACUUGGAUGGCAGUCCAAUAAAUUUUAAAAUUAUGAAUA
rnacentral:rRNA from 1 species